rnacentral:rRNA from 1 species
CCWUGUCUAAGUAUAAACCUUUUAUACCCGUGAAACUGCGAAUGGCUCWUUAAACCAGUUAUAGUUUCUUUGAACGUACCUUACUACUUGGAUAACCGUAGUAAUUCUAGAGCUAAUACAUGCCUACACGCCCGACUCACGAAGGGUGGUAUUUAUUAGAUAAAAAACCAAUGCACUUUKGUGCUUUGUGAUGAUUCAUAAUAACUCUCGGAUCGCACGGCCUAGAGCUGGCGACGGUUCAUUCAAAUUUCUGCCCUAUCAACUUUCGAUGGUAGAGUAGUGGUCUACCAUGGUGUCAACGGGUGACGGGGAAUUAGGGUUCGAUUCCGGAGAGGGAGCCUGAGAAACGSCUACCACAUCCAAGGRRGGCAGCAGGCGCCCAAAUUAMCCAAUCCCA